rnacentral:rRNA from 1 species
UACAGAGGUCCCAAGCGUUGUUCGGAUUCAUUGGGCGUAAAGGGUGUGUAGGUGGCGCCGUAAGUCGGGUGUGAAAUCUCGGGGCUUAACUCCGAAACUGCAUUCGAUACUGCGGUGCUUGAGGACUGGAGAGGAGACUGGAAUUUACGGUGUAGCGGUGAAAUGCGUAGAUAUCGUAAGGAAGACCAGUGGCGAAGGCGGGUCUCUGGACAGUUCCUGACGCUGAGGCACGAAGGUCAGGGGAGCAAACGGGG